rnacentral:rRNA from 1 species
CCUACGGGUGGCAGCAGUGGGGAAUAUUGGACAAUGGGGGCAACCCUGAUCCAGCCAUGCCGCGUGUGUGAAGAAGGCCCUCGGGUUGUAAAGCACUUUCAGUGAGGAAGAACGCCUGGUGGUUAAUACCCAUCAGGAAAGACAUCACUCACAGAAGAAGCACCGGCUAACUCCGUGCCAGCAGCCGCGGUAAUACGGAGGGUGCGAGCGUUAAUCGGAAUUACUGGGCGUAAAGCGCGCGUAGGUGGCUUGAUAAGCCGGUUGUGAAAGCCCCGGGCUCAACCUGGGAACGGCAUCCGGAACUGUCAAGCUAGAGUGCCGGAGAGGAAGGUAGAAUUCCCGGUGUAGCGGUGAAAUGCGUAGAGAUCGGGAGGAAUACCAGUGGCGAAGGCGGCCUUCUGGACUGACACUGACACUGAGGUGCGAAAGCGUGGGUAGCAAACAGGAUUAGAUACCCUUGUAGUC